rfam:Schistosoma mattheei strain Denwood, Zambia genome assembly, scaffold: SMTD_contig0017446
AUACAACUGAUGAGUCCCAAAUAGGACGAAACGCGCCUUGUCCUGGAU